GCCACAGCCAUAUCACCAUGAAGUCCAAGACUGGUUGCCCACUGAAGCUAAACAGGGUGGAGUCUGGUCAGUACCUCGAUGGGAGAACUCCUGGGGGGAAAAAAACAGGUUGCUGCUGGAA
rnacentral:rRNA from 1 species